rnacentral:lncRNA from 1 species
UUCAGAACGGAAAUCGGACCGGUGCAAAGUGAAGGUCUUGACACCAGGAGUAUUUAUUUUAAAAGAAAGUUGAUGAUCGGAGGAAAGGAAGUGGUCGGAAUCUUAGAGAGAAGGUGGAGGUUUUAGAGAGAAUGAGGAGAAAAUGGUUUGCUGAAGGUUGAGGAUGAAGAGGUGCGUGCAGAGGAAAAAUGGCGUCAGUUUUAAAAUCCCAACUUAAAUAACCGGACGGUCAAGUCCCAUGCUGCCACAUGUUUUUCACUUCCUAGUUGUACUCCAUGAGCUGUCACUUGGAUUCCACUUCCUGCACAUCUCACCUUCUUUGCUGCCGCACGGUUUC